AGAGUUUGAUCAUGGCUCAGAUUGAACGCUGGCGGAAUGCUUUACACAUGCAAGUCGAACGAUGAACCUUAGCUUGCUAAGGGGAUUAGUGGCGAACGGGUGAGUAAUAUAUCGGAACGUGCCUUGUAAUGGGGGAUAACUAGUCGAAAGAUUAGCUAAUACCGCAUACGCCCUGAGGGGGAAAGUAGGGGAUCUUCGGACCUUACGUUAUAAGAGCGGCCGAUAUCUGAUUAGCUAGUUGGUGGGGUAAUGGCCUACCAAGGCUUCGAUCAGUAGCUGGUCUGAGAGGACGACCAGCCACACUGGAACUGAGACACGGUCCAGACUCCUACGGGAGGCAGCAGUGGGGAAUUUUGGACAAUGGGCGCAAGCCUGAUCCAGCCAUUCCGCGUGAGUGAAGAAGGCCUUCGGGUUGUAAAGCUCUUUCGCAAGGGAAGAAAACUUACCAUCGAAUAAAUGGUGAGGCUGACGGUACCUUGAUAAGAAGCACCGGCUAACUACGUGCCAGCAGCCGCGGUAAUACGUAGGGUGCGAGCGUUAAUCGGAAUUACUGGGCGUAAAGCGUGCGCAGGCGGUUUGGCAAGUCAGAUGUGAAAUCCCCGAGCUCAACUUGGGAACUGCGUUUGAAACUGCCAGACUAGAAUAUGUCAGAGGGGGGUAGAAUUCCACGUGUAGCAGUGAAAUGCGUAGAGAUGUGGAGGA
rnacentral:rRNA from 1 species